rnacentral:rRNA from 1 species
ACUCAAGACCCUUCUGGUCUAUGGCCAUACCCGAUGGCAUCUGACCUCGGAAGCGAAGCAGGUUCGGGCCUGGUUAGUCCUUGGAUGGGAAACCCUGCUGGUCCGAAACUCUGCAGAUGAGAGUG